rnacentral:rRNA from 1 species
UGGGGAAUCUUGGACAAUGGGCGAAAGCCUGAUGCAGCAACGCCGCGUGCGGGAAGACAGCCCUAGGGUUGUAAACCGCUUUCAGCAGGGAAGAAACUGACGGUACCUGCAGAAGAAGAUGCGGCCAACUACGUGCCAGCAGCCGCGGUGACACGUAGGCAUCAAGCGUUAUCCGGAUUUAUUGGGCGUAAAGAGCUCGUAGGCGGUUCGGUAAGUCGGGUGUGAAAACUCUGGGCUCAACCCAGAGAGGCCACUCGAUACUGCUGUGACUAGAGUGCGGUAGGGGAGCGGGGAAUUCCUGGUGUAGCGGUGAAAUGCGCAGAUAUCAGGAGGAACACCAGUGGCGAAGGCGCCGCUCUGGGCCGUAACUGACGCUGAGGAGCGAAAGCAUGGGUAGCAAACAGGAUUAGAUACCCUGGUAGUCCAUGCCGUAAACGUUGGGCACUAGGUGUGGGUCUCAACCGAACGAGAUCCGCGCCGUCGCUAACGCAUU